rnacentral:lncRNA from 1 species
UCUCAGUAAUGUCCCAGACGUUUCCAAUGGGAGAGAAGGAAUCUGUGGGACUGAUGGUGGGAAAUUAAGCUUUCUCAUUUGGCACAAACCUUUUCCUGCAGAAAUUUUAAAGUAAAUUUCACUGCCAGAAAGAUGUGGAGAUCAUCAACACUGCGUUGCCUCUUGCUCCCAAAACAUGCUGACAUGACUAAAAGGUCACAGCACUUCUAUGGUACAUUGCUUCAUCAACACACUCACAUUCAGACUCAACAUAAAAUGAAAGAAGUUUGUGUCAUGGUUCCCCAGAGUGCAGAAUUCUGUACUUAGCUGCUAAAAAUGAGUGUCUCACAGCUGAAUCUUGGCAGAAAUCCAUCAGGGGAAGAAGGGCCUUGAGGCUGUGCAGCAAUGAGGAGGGCUGAGUUCCUCUCCAGUGUUGUUUUCCAAGCCAGAGUCCAAACCAAGAGAGCUUGCAGCACUGGAGAAUGAGUUACAAACGGCCAUUUGAAGCAUCUCUUCAAGCACUUCUCAUCUGCCCAGAACAGAAGGCUACAAUCAGUGUUAAUUCUUUUUCAGGCAGCAUGGGAUUUCUGUCUGCCUUGGUAUGCAGCAAAGACACUGAACUUUGGCUUUUAAUGUGUCACAGUGGUUUUCCAAUAAGAAAACAAAGGAAGAAGAAGUAUAAGGGCUCCUUGUGCUGCUGGUUUUGGCUGCAGUGACAGCCUUCUUUCUGAGUCAAAUCUUACCAUCCUCCCAGCAACAAGCUCUACCUGCUGAAUGGAUGGAAUCUGAAUGGAAUUGGAAAAUCAGGCUGUGUCUGAAUGUAUUCCAGCACAGAGCAGAAGAGACGGCACUGAGCAGCAUGGCAGCAGGUAAACAAGGCAUCGUGUGCACUUUAGAAAGUAGAGCUUUCUUGUGACGGGCAAGGGAGCAAGAUGGGGGAAGAUGGAGAGAAUCAAAGAUUGCGGCCCUUGGUGGGAAGGGAAAAGCUAACUUCAGUGUGGGACACAAGCAAUAAGGACAAUCGACAUCACUCUGUGGACAUUUGAAAGCCCUUCCUCCAGAGCCGCUUGCCUCCGGAAGAGAGUGCUCAGGAGUGUUUACUGGAGAUCUGCCUGUGACUAAAUAGCUCCAGCUCGGUCUGGGAAAGCUGGGAAUGAUACCUUCAUGUCCUGUGAAAACAGGAUGCAGGUGGGCAUCCCUGCUCCCUCUUAUCUGCUGGCAGGGCCCAGAAGAUGGGAACCAAGGACGUGCUGCUGAGAUCCCAGAGCCAGAAUCUGCCACUGCAAGGAGAGCUGACUCGACCACUGUGGAUUUGAGCUGUCACUCCAAAGACAGCUGACUCGACCACUUGGAAAGCACUGAAAAGGGGCCAUCAUCGCCAUGGUCACCGUUGCAGUCGUUGUCAACAGAACAGCAACACCCGAUGACCCACCGCUACUGAAGAUCAGUGGCUGAACUACGAACCGCGCCGGAUCCGUGGUGGUGACUAUCUCCCUCUUGCUUCCUAUAAAGACUCCGUGCUGCUUCUUUCCUGUCUUUCCUCACCCUCCUUCCCUUCCCAUUACCCCAGUUCAGAACAGCGUCUGUCCUCCCCUUCCCCAUCUCCCUAAUUAAGAUUUGCAAUCAACUGGUCGGACCAGCAUUGGAACCGUUGUUUCUUAAUCUCACGCCGGGUACACAGAUACUAAAAGAACCUCCUCUCCCUCCUAUAAAUGG